rnacentral:rRNA from 1 species
UACAGAGGGUGCAAGCGUUAAUCGGAAUUACUGGGCGUAAAGCGUGCGUAGACGGUUACAUAAGUCGGGUGUGAAAGCCCCGGGCUCAACCUGGGAAUUGCAUUCGAGACUGCGUAGCUAGGGUGCGGAAGAGGGAAGCGGAAUUUCCGGUGGAGCGGUGAAAUGCGUAGAGAUCGGAAAGAACACCAACGGCGAAAGCACUCUGCUGGGCCGGCACUGACACUGAGGGACGAAAGCUAGGGGAGCGAAUGGG